rnacentral:rRNA from 1 species
UGGGGAAUCUUCCGCAAUGGACGAAAGUCUGACGGAGCAACGCCGCGUGAGUGAUGAAGGUCUUCGGAUUGUAAAGCUCUGUUAAUCGGGACGAAAGAGCCUAGUGUGAAUAAUGCUAGGAAGUGACGGUACCGGAAUAGAAAGCCACGGCUAACUACGUGCCAGCAGCCGCGGUAAUACGUAGGUGGCAAGCGUUGUCCGGAAUUAUUGGGCGUAAAGCGCGCGCAGGCGGAUCUGCCAGUCUGUCUUAAAAGUUUGGGGCUUAACCCCGUGAUGGGAUGGAAACUACAGAUCUAGAGUAUCGGAGAGGAAAGUGGAAUUCCUAGUGUAGCGGUGAAAUGCGUAGAUAUUAGGAAGAACACCAGUGGCGAAGGCGACUUUCUGGACGAAAACUGACGCUGAGGCGCGAAAGCCAGGGGAGCGAACGG